rnacentral:lncRNA from 1 species
GGGAACAGAGAUGUCAUGUUUGUUUCUCCCUUUUUGUUUGUUUUGGCAACUUCUUGUGCUCAGUGAGACCAGUAGUCCCAAACUAGAAAUUAGGAGUGUCACAAUAAAUUUUAUUAUGCUGCUCUAAAUACAAAUAACACCAAGACAAGCCCUUAGUCUUAAGAGCUGUAUGGGAUGGAUGUUAUUAUUUCUGUUUCAUCGAUGGGAACACUGAGGGUUUUAUAGGACUUGUUCAUUUUUAGAGUGAUGCUAAAAGGUCUGUGGUGUGGUAUAAGAGAGGGCAGUGACAGUGAGACUAUCACACUUACCGUGAUCUCUUUUCUGCUAAAAUGCUGGUCCAUCCAGAUAAGUUAUCAGUCCCACCCUAAUGGAGCAGGUUAGGUUGUGUUUUCUUCCCUGGAGUAAUUUGGAGAAAGUCUCACAAGGGAACCAAAUCAUUCAAUAUUACUUUUCAUCAUUAUAGAUCUGUUCAUUUUUGUCUCCAGUGAAAUGUCUCAUUUCCUAUCCCUCUUUUUAGUACCACAUUUCUUCAUCUUAAGAGUUUGUUAACUGAGAUUUAACACAUUUCUUUCUCGAGGAAAGCAAUUAAUCUUUUAAACUUAAUUGCAAAAUAUU